CGGGCUGCUGCCGGUGCUGCGGGCGGAGGCGGCUCCGCCGCGUGUUGGGCGCUGCGAGCAGGGAGCGCUGCGAUGUCGCCGGCAUGACAGGGCUGCUGCCUGCAUUAGUGCCCGUGGCUCUUUGUGCCGUGACGGCGGAUGGAGCGGCGCUGGGCGGUAAAGCCAGAGAUGGCCGGGAGAAUGCCCAGCGCAGGGAGCGGGCGGGCUGUGUGCUUCGGAUGGCACAGGUGCGAGCUGCAAAGUCACCCCCCCUUCCGCCCCUGCCCUCCCGAGCCCCAGGGAAAAUGCUUUCCAGCAUUGUCGAGCUUCUGAAAGACAAAACUUGUGAUUUGACACUUGCAUCCAGAAAAGGUUUCUGUCUAGAUUAGCAAAUGCCUAAAUUGUUCUUGGUUACAUCCCAUGACCGGUUUUAGGCAGUGACUUUAUACCGCUUUUAGGAUUUUCUUGUACAGUGGUGAGAAAAUAGGCAGGUCUGAUAGUGGUUUCACUUUUGUUCUACUUCACGUUCCAUAAGAUUCUUUUAUCCAAGCACUUGUUUUAAAAUUCUACUGUAGGCGUUUAUGGUUCACUUUUGUUUUCUUUGCAGCACCCGUGACUUUUUUUUCCUCUAAAUCGGGAGUAAAUAUAGCUGAGUUCAGUAAUGUAUUUGCUGCAGCUUUGCUUACCCAAGCUUUGGGUUCCUUCUGUCCCACUGGGAGUUGCCCAAUUUGGUUGCAUCUGGUGAAAUUCACCCUGAGACCUUACAGAACCAGCUCCAACUACGUGAGAGCCAUUUGCAGUUCUCUCCAGACGCCUGGAGAAUGGGCGACGUUUCUGAGGAUCCGGCGAGCGUGCUUCUGUCAAAACUCAGUCUGUGAAAUUCCUGGGGAAAACCCUUCUGUGUCCUGAAGGGUUCAAACUCUGGUGAGGAUCCAGUUAUCAGGUGCUCACCUGGAUGGUUCCAGCUGCCAAAGGGAAAGACUCUCGUGUCCUUGUCGUCGGGCUCGGUGCUGUCCAAGAAGAUACAGAGACUAAAAAAAUCAUAAGCAGCAAAAUAUGACUGCAGGGAAAAGAAGCUGGAGAGAACAGAAGAAAUGGAAUUGGGAUGACGCCUCGGCCAGCCCCUCUCUGCCAUCGUCUCCUGAAUCUGCAGCAGAGCAGUUCCAGUCCAUCCGGGCACGUGCAAUCCAGUUCCUGAUGAUCUGAGCACACAGAGCAGCGCUCAGCUGCUGUGGGGGGAUCAGGGAGGGCAGAGUGUGCAUUGUCAUCUUCCUGAACCUACAGACAAAUCAAAGUGAGAAGCCACAGCGUGGAAAUCAGUCGCAUAUAUGCUAAAUAAAACUUGCAGGUUUUUUUUUAGAAUUGUU